ACCAAACUCCCCCAAUAAUUCAAUUUCAACCCCUCCAUAUAUACAAAUUCCCCCCCAAACCCAAAAAAUAAAAUAUUUUAAACUAACCAAAACAAAAAAUGCCAAGCUCUACCUCUACUACUCUCCAAUGGCUAAGCCUGGUCGGAAUAAUAUGGCUCCAGUCAGUAAACGGAACCAACACCAACUUCCCAGCCUACUCCUCCCAGCUC
rnacentral:lncRNA from 1 species